UACGUAGGGUGCGAGCGUUGUCCGGAAUUAUUGGGCGUAAAGAGCUCGUAGGCGGUCUGUCGCGUCGAAUGUGAAAACCCGGGGCUCAACUCCGGGCUUGCAUUCGAUACGGGCAGGCUAGAGUUCGGUAGGGGAGUCUGGAAUUCCUGGUGUAGCGGUGAAAUGCGCAGAUAUCAGGAGGAACACCGGUGGCGAAGGCGGGUCUCUGGGCCGAAACUGACGCUGAGGAGCGAAAGCGUGGGGAGCGAACAGG
rnacentral:rRNA from 1 species